CAUGUAGGGCGCAAGCGUUGUCCGGAAUUAUUGGGCGUAAAGAGCUCGUAGGCGGUCUGUUGCGUCCGCUGUGAAAACUCGGGGCUUAACCCCGAGCCUGCAGUGGAUACGGGCAGACUAGAGGUAGGUAGGGGAGAAUGGAAUUCCCGGUGUAGCGGUGAAAUGCGCAGAUAUCGGGAGGAACACCGGUGGCGAAGGCGGUUCUCUGGGCCUUACCUGACGCUGAGGAGCGAAAGCGUGGGGAGCGAACAGG
rnacentral:rRNA from 1 species